UCGCCAACUUUCUGGAUCUGACGGUUCCAGAAAGCAACAAACAUGAACCCGGAGGAGCGGUCUACAUCGGAUUCAUUUCUGCCAUGCUGCUGUUUAUCUCUGGCCUGAUUUUCUGCACAUCUUGUGUGAAAAAGAGAGCAGAAGCUUUGCUCUACCCAUCCAAGCAGCAACAUAUCCCCAUCUCGCAGCCAGAGGACAAUUCAGCAUACAGCCUGAAGGAUUACGUGUAAACAGCUGUGUGAUGCACAUGGAGUUUUCAGGUGCCUGCCGUGACUUCUGCCUUUCUUUUCAAUACUGGGAUUGUGCUUCACUUUCUCCAUAAAGAAUGCAGAAUAUUUAAACAUGAUGUUCAAGAAUGCCAACAAAGUCUGUGGACAAUUACAUCUGUUUUAGAUUAUUUUUGGAUUAUUAUUGUCAUGUUUUAUCUAAAGGUUUAUAGUGGAAAGAGGUUCUGAUUAUAUUAAUAAGCAACUGAUAGUUCCAGUCCUUUUAAGAUAAACUGUAAAUACAUCUUCCUAACUGGCACUUAAUGGGAUUUUAUAAAAGAACUGAAUUGCCAAGUAUAAAAUGCACUUUGUGCGGGGGUUAAUGCAAGAUGUCACCUGCUUUUGCUGUCUCUGCCUGGCACCAGCACAGUAUCUGCUUCUGUUUUCAAGCCCCCCUGAAUGCCAGCGCCUUAGGGAUGGAAGAGCAGUCUACUUCUUUCAGAGACUGCCCAAACCAGCCACCUCUCGGCCCCGCCUACUGAAACAUCUUGGUUCUUUGUACAUUUUAGGAAAAACAUCUCCAUACGUUUGCAGGAGCCUGACAAUACAAUAAAGAUUAGGCAGAAAUAAGAGAAAGUGGUAAAUGCUACCCCAGUAAAGCAAACUCAACCAAAUCCAAACUGAAGUUGCUAGGACUUUAAAGGAUUGAGCACAAGCUCAGUGAAAAGAAGAAGAGUUUAUUUAAUAAUGCUUACGAACUGCCCUCUCUUGCUCCCAACAAGAGGAUUCUCCAGAUUAAAUUCACUUACCCCAUCAUUCUUGAUUUACCACUAUCAUUUGCUAUCUCAUUGAUUAGUAUUUGGAUGACCAAGGUUUGUCUUUUUUUCUCAAGUUUGAUUCAUGUGGACGAAAAUGUUUUUAUAAAUGAGCUGCUUCAAUUAGGUAAUGGAUGUGAAAAUAUUUUUGCUUUUUGGGGCCACACUUGCGGCACAUGGAGGUUCCCAGGUUAGGGGUCAAAUUGGAGCUAUAGGUGCUGGCCUACGCCACAGCCACAGCCACUCACGAUCCAAGCCAUGUCUGCAACCUACACCACAACUCACAGCAAUGCAAGAUCCCCAACCCACUGAGCAAGGAUCCAGCAUUGCCGUGAGCUGUGGGAUGGGUUGCAGACGCAGCUUGGAUCUGGCGUUGCUGUGGCUGUGGUGUAGGCUGGUGGCUACAGCUCCGAUUCGACCCCUAGCCUGGGAAUCUCCAUAUGCUGUGGGAGCGGCUCAAGAAAAGGCAGAAAAAGUAAAAAAAAAAUAAUAAAAAUAACUGAUAAAAAUAUUUUAAUGCAAAUGAAUGUGAUAGGAUUGCUUUGACACCUAUAAUGGUUCUCAUUUUGCUUAGUAUGACUGGCUUUAUAUGCAGUCUAUGUAUCCUACAGUCUGUUAUUAAAAAUUCACUUCAUAUAUUCUUAGUUCUGUAUUACUUCAAAACGUUUUAUUUAGCUGUGGAAUAUUGCCUUCCGAAAUAUAUACAGGAAUUUUUUUUAUUACUCAAUGAAUUUAUCACAUCUGUAGUUGUACAAUGAUCAUCACAACCCAAUUACACAGGAUUUCCAUCCCACAACCCAAGCACAUCCCCCCACCCCCCAAACUGUCUCCUCCAGAGACCAUAAGUUUUUCAAUGUCUGUGAGUCAGCAU
rnacentral:lncRNA from 1 species